rnacentral:rRNA from 1 species
AGUGAACGCUGGCGGCGUGCUUAACACAUGCAAGUCGAACGAGAACGGGUUAUAGCUUGCUAUAAUUGUCAGCUAAGUGGCGCACGGGUGAGUAAUGUAUAGGUAAUAUGCCUCUUACUAAGGGAUAACAAAUGGAAACGUUUGCUAAUACCUUAUACUACUUUUAAACAGAAGUUUAAAAGGGAAAGAUUUAUUGGUAAGAGAUUAGCCUGUAUUGUAUCAGUUAGUUGGUGGGGUAAUGGCUUACCAAGACUAUGACACAUAACUGGUUUGAGAGGAUGAUCAGUCACACUGGAACUGAGACACGGUCCAGACUCCUACGGGAGGCAGCAGUGGGGAAUAUUGCACAAUGGACGAAAGUCUGAUGCAGCAACGCCGCGUGGAGGAUGACACAUUUCGGUGCGUAAACUCCUUUUAUAUGAGAAGAUAAUGACGGUAUUAUAUGAAUAAGCACCGGCUAACUCCGAGCCAGCCGCCGCCGUAA